AAACAUUGUCUUAUGCCUGUGGAGAAACUUGUAGUGGACUCUGCCACCACUUGCCGAUACUUAUUAGGGUGCGACCCUAACCUGGAGACAGGAAGAAAACUGGAAAAACUUGUAGUGGACUCUGCCACCACUUGCCGAUACUUAUUAGGGUGCGACCCCAACCUGGAGACAGAUUGCCCCUUUCUUUGCCCAAUUGGGGUGAAGAGUGGAUUGCCAUGCCUUUAACGUGUGGCGCAUGGUGUUCGUUUUUAAUAGCUUUCCCGCAGCACUUAUCCUGUUUUCCACUUAAACUCGCACAAUUUUAUAGUUUUAAUGUAUUUAAUAAGGUAGAGCUUUUCAUUGUCUUGGGUGCUACUGUUACCUGCUUAGAAAGAUUUUGCUUUGUAUU